rnacentral:rRNA from 1 species
AAACGUAGGGGCCAAGCGUUAUCCGGAAUUACUGGGCGUAAAGCGCGUGCAGGCGGUUCUGAAAGUCGGACGUGAAAGCUCCCGGCCCAACUGGGAGAGGCCGUUCGAAACUGUGGAACUAGAGGAUGGUAGAGGCAAGUGGAAUUCCCGGUGUAGUGGUGAAAUGCGUAGAUAUCGGGAGGAACACCAGCGGCGAAAGCGGCUUGCUGGGCCAUCACUGACGCUCAGACGCGAAAGCCAGGGGAGAGAACGGGAUUAGAAACCCCGGUAUUCCUGGCUGUAAACGAUGUCAACUAGGUGUAGGGGGUAACCAACCCCUCUGUGCUGCCGCAAACGCAAUAAGUUGACCGCCUGGGGAGUACGGCCGCAAGGCUAAA